rnacentral:rRNA from 1 species
AACGAACGCUGGCGGCGCGCCCAAUACACGCAAGUCGAGCGAGAAGGUGUAGCAAUACACUUGUAAAGCGGCGAACGGGUGAGGAAUGCAUGGGUAACCUACCCUCGAGUGGGGAAUAACUAGCCGAAAGGUUAGCUAAUACCGCAUACGUUUCCGGAACUUCGGUUUCGGAAAGAAAGCAAUACCGUGGGUAUUGCGCUCCUGGAUGGGCUCAUGUCCUAUCAGCUUGUUGGUGAGGUAACGGCUCACCAAGGCUUCGACGGGUAGCUGGUCUGAGAGGACGAUCAGCCACACUGGCACUGCGACACGGGCCAGACUCCUACGGGAGGCAGCAGUAAGGAAUAUUGCGCAAUGGACGAAAAGUCUGACGCAGCGACGCCGCGUGGGGGAUGAAGGUCUUCGGAUUGUAAACCCCUUUCGGGAGGGAAGAUGGAGUGGGUAACCACUUGGACGGUACCUCCAGAAGCAGCCACGGCUAACUUCGUGCCAGCAGCCGCGGUAAU